AUUGGACGCUGGCGGCAGGCCUAACACAUGCAAGUCGAGCGGAUGAAGGGAGCUUGCUCCUGGAUUCAGCGGCGGACGGGUGAGUAAUGCCUAGGAAUCUGCCUGGUAGUGGGGGAUAACGUCCGGAAACGGGCGCUAAUACCGCAUACGUCCUGAGGCAGAAAGUGGGGGAUCUUCGGACCUCACGCUAUCAGAUGAGCCUAGGUCGGAUUAGCUAGUUGGUGGGGUAAAGGCCUACCAAGGCGACGAUCCGUAACUGGUCUGAGAGGAUGAUCAGUCACACUGGAACUGAGACACGGUCCAGACUCCUACGGGAGGCAGCAGUGGGGAAUAUUGGACAAUGGGCGAAAGCCUGAUCCAGCCAUGCCGCGUGUGUGAAGAAGGUCUUCGGAUUGUAAAGCACUUUAAGUUGGGAGGAAGGGCAGUAAGUUAAUACCUUGCUGUUUUGACGUUACCAACAGAAUAAGCACCGGCUAACUUCGUG
rnacentral:rRNA from 1 species